CUUUUCACAAACAACAUAAAAAAGAGGAGGGGCAUGGAGGGAGAUAUUAUCCUGUUUUCAGAGCGGCAGCCUUGGUGGUGUACCCAGUAAUCUUUGCAGUGUUUUUCAAAAUGAUGAAACCGCAUCAAAGGCUGGUGGUUCCUGGUCCCCUUGCCGAUGCUAUCCCCCACGACAUCCCCCCCAAUCCCCCUGGACAUCGAGGGGAGUCAGGGAUAUUUUAUCAGAUCCCUACUGGACUCCCGGCGUUGUGGGGGUCGGCUCCAGUACCUGGUGGACUGGGAGGGGUAUGGCCCAUACGAGCGGUGUUGGGUUCCGGUUGAGGAUAUUCUGGAUCCCAACAUCAUCCAUGAUUUCCACCUUUGCCGCCCGGAACACGUCAGGGGGGGGGGUUACUGUCACGUCUAGUCCUGCUCCUCCACUCGGCGUUCGACAUUGCCUGACUGCUAACCACCGUUCCUGGGAUUCAUCAUUACGCACACCUGUUUAUCAUUAUGAUUCACACCUGGACUCCAUGACCUUCCUCAUUACUUCACAUUCAUCUGUCCCUCUCUUACGUUUGUCCACAGUCACUAUUGUUCCAAUGCUUUUCGCCACUGUGAUGUUCUCGUUUCAUGUUUAUUGUUUUAUUAAACAUUUCACCUGCACCUGC